GACGAACGCUGGCGGCGUGCUUAACACAUGCAAGUCGAACGGAAAGGCCCGGCUCUUGUGGGGUGCUCGAGAGGCGAACAGGUGAGUAACACGUGAGUAAACUGCCCUUAACUUUGGGAUAAAUUCAGGGAAAAGGGGCUAAUACCGGAUAGAAUAUCCUGAAGCGUGGUGGGGGUUGGAGAGUUUCGGCGGUAGGGGCUGGUCUCGCGGCUUAUCGGCUUGUUGGUGGGGUAGUGGCUUACAAAGGCUUUGACGGGUAGCCCGCCUGAGAGAGUUACCGGCCACAUGGGGACUGAGAUACGGCCCAGACUCCUACGUGACGCAGCAGUGGGGAAUAUUGCACAAUGGGCCGACGUCUGAUGCAGCAACCCCGCGUUCGUAAUGCUGUCCUUUGAGUUGUAAACCGCUUUCGCAUGUACCGAAGCCUGAGUGACGGUACUGAGUAAAAAAGCACCGGCUAACUACGUG
rnacentral:rRNA from 1 species